UCUAUUUCCUAUCACUAAUACUUACAAGAAGAAAAAGAUGAAGAAAGAGCCAAUGGAUGUAGGAAGUUUUGGGGCCUCUCCUCUCCAGCUAUCUCAGAGAUACUGCUUCCUGCAGUUUGCCUCUGUGAUUCCUUAUUUACCUCUACCUUUUCCAUGAGAUUAAGAACACUAUAAGAAAGCCUACAAAUGCUAUGGUUGCACAUACAGAAAAAUCCAAGACCUCAGAGACUUCUUCCCUUCACUCUUUGAUGUAACUGAUUUCUCCCCAUCAGUAUCCUGAUCAUCUGGUUCCUUCAUUUCCUCUGAUCCAGGAUGACCCACCAGCAGAAGGGUGCAACUACCACCAGAGACCUCUGACCUCUGCAAGACAGCUAAUUAUAAUCACAGAUUCUCUUUCUCUAGGUAAAUUGUCAUUGUGGUGCACUUUGGUUUUCUAGAGGUCCACUACCAAAGUUCAUCUUUUCCUGAAAUGCUUCACCACUAAAAUUAACCUUCUGCCAUCCUACCUUUGGUCCAUCCCUCCCUCUUUCUCUAUUUUCAAAUUCCCUUGGAGUUACUAAUCAAUUUCAGUUUUUAAAAUAUUUUUUGAGCACACCUGCAGUGUAUCAAGUCUUAUGUUGGGUACUAAAUUACAAAACUGGAGAAGAGAAAUAUGGUCCCUAACUUU